GACGAACGCUGGCGGCGUGCUUAACACAUGCAAGUCGAACGGAAAGGCCCUGCUUUUGUGGGGUGCUCGAGUGGCGAACGGGUGAGUAACACGUGAGUAACCUGCCCUUGACUUUGGGAUAACUUCAGGAAACUGGGGCUAAUACCGGAUAGGAGCUCCUGCUGCAUGGUGGGGGUUGGAAAGUUUCGGCGGUUGGGGAUGGACUCGCGGCUUAUCAGCUUGUUGGUGGGGUAGUGGCUUACCAAGGCUUUGACGGGUAGCCGGCCUGGGAGGGUGACCGGCAACAUGGGACUUGGGGAAGGGCCCGACCCCUAAGGGGGGCAAGAGGGGGGAAUAUUGCCCAACGGGCGGAAGCCUGAUGCAGCAACGCCGCGUGCGGGAUGACGGCCUUCGGGUUGUAAACCGCUUUCGCCUGUGACGAAGCGUGAGUGACGGUAAUGGGUAAAGAAGCACCGGCUAACUACGUG
rnacentral:rRNA from 1 species